rnacentral:rRNA from 1 species
GGACCUGACUGCUAUCGGAUUGAUACUAAGCCAUGCGAGUCAUUGUAGCAAUACAAGGCAUACGGCUCAGUAACGCGUAGUCAACCUAACCUAUGGACGGGAAUAACCUCGGGAAACUGAGAAUAAUGCCCGAUAGAACAUUAUGCCUGGAAUGGUUUAUGUUCCAAAUGAUUUAUCGCCGUAGGAUGGGACUGCGGCCUAUCAGUUUGUUGGUGAGGUAAUGGCCCAACCAAGACUAUUACAGGUACGGGCUCUGAGAGGAGUAGCCCGGAGAUGGGUACUGAGACACGGACCCAGGCCCUAUGGGGCGCAGCAAGGCGAGAAAAACUUUGCAAAUGUGCGAAAGCACGACGAAGGUUAAUCCGAGUGGUUCCUGCUAAAGAAACCUUUUGUCGAGUCCUAGAAACACUGAUGAAUAAGGGGUGGGCGAAGUUCUGGUGUCG